rfam:Debaryomyces hansenii strain D2 chromosome 2, complete sequence
AUCCUAUGGGGCAAAAUUCAGAAGAGAUUUUGUUGCCAAGG